rnacentral:lncRNA from 1 species
UGACUUUCAGUGCGUCUCAGAAGAAAAUUCAGGAGAUUCUCCGUGACCUAGAAAAAAUUCAGGAAACCCUGCAAGGGAGUGUCACGGGGAACGAAGCUCCUAAAAAACAAGUUGAGGGUGAGCGGAUAAUUAGUAGAACAGGACCGAUUAAGGAAGUUGGGUCUAGGCUUAUACUUUUCAAAACCUACUUUUAAUAAGGCUUAUUAAAUGCUUUAACUUCCCUUCUGGCCCACCACUUACCAGAGGUGGUGGAAAGGAAAAGUUGUUGGAGCAAAUCCAGUCUGUGUUGUCAGGGUAUCAGCGGUUCAGUUCACGGAGUCAGCAGUAGUAGUCGGAUGCGCUCAUGAACACCAGUCACGAUUUGGCAACAGCAGGUCGAUCCAGAAGAAACCAUGAUGUUCUGCUUGGUGCUGUUCCUUGGGGCAGUUUCAAUAUCCAUCUGUCAGGAUACCAGCAGCCUAGUUCAGUGGUGUCAGGAUAGCAAACAGGAAUCAGCAUGCGUCAACAGGGGCAACCAGGGCCAGCAGGGAUGCCAGGAGAAGUUCUCUGCUGUGCCUCUCCCAAGGAAGUGAAGACCAGUGAAGAGUAAGGCACAGCAACACCAUCCAGGGUCGUCCACUGUCUGUUGGGUUAUAUUUAUUUUCCUUCUAGACAUCAUCUGUCCUUUCACGUAUCUGCUUUAGCAAAACACCAUUUGACAUAACUACCCAAGG